rnacentral:rRNA from 2 species
GGGAAACCGGAGCUAAUACCGGAUAGUUCCUUGAACCGCAUGGUUCAAGGAUGAAAGACGGUUUCGGCUGUCACUUACAGAUGGACCCGCGGCGAUUAGCUAGUUGGUGGGGUAAUGGCUCACCAAGGCGACGAUGCGUAGCCGACCUGAGAGGGUGAUCGGCCACACUGGGACUGAGACACGGCCCAGACUCUACGGGAGGCAGCAGUAGGGAAUCUUCCGCAAUGGACGAAAGUCUGACGGAGCAACGCCGCGUGAGUGAUGAAGGUUUUCGGAUCGUAAAGCUCUGUUGUUAGGGAAGAACAAGUGCGAGAGUAACUGCUCGCACCUUGACGGUACCUAACCAGAAAGCCACGGCUAACUACGUGCCAGCAGCCGCGGUAAUACGUAGGUGGCAAGCGUUGUCCGGAAUUAUUGGGCGUAAAGGGCUCGCAGGCGGUUUCUUAAGUCUGAUGUGAAAGCCCGGCUCAACCGGGGAGGGUCAUUGGAAACUGGGAAACUUGAG